UUCCCCUAGUAACUGCGAGUGAAGCGGGAAAAGCUCAAAUUUAAAAUCUGGCAGUCUUUGAUUGUCCGAGUUGUAAUCUAGAGAAGUGCUAUCCGCGCUGGACCGUGUACAAGUCUCCUGGAAUGGAGCGUCAUAGAGGGUGAGAAUCCCGUCUUUGACACGGACUGCCAGGGCUUUGUGAUGCGCUCUCAAAGAGUCGAGUUGUUUGGGAAUGCAGCUCAAAAUGGGUGGUAAAUUCCAUCUAAAGCUAAAUAUUGGCGAGAGACCGAUAGCGAACAAGUACCGUGAGGGAAAGAUGAAAAGAACUUUGGAAAGAGAGUUAAACAGUACGUGAAAUUGCUGAAAGGGAAACGCUUGAAGUCAGUCGCGUUGUCCAGGGAUCAACCUUGCUUUUGCUUGGUGCACUUUCUGGUUGACGGGUCAGCAUCAAUUUUGACCAUUGGAAAAAGAUUAGGGGAAUGUGGCAUCUUCGGAUGUGUUAUAGCCCUUGGUUGCAUACAAUGGUUGGGAUUGAGGAACUCAGCACGCCGCAAGGCCGGGUUUUUACCACGUACGUGCUUAGGAUGCUGGCAUAAUGGCUUUAAUCGACCCGUCUUGAAACACGGACCAAGGAGUCUAACAUACCUGCGAGUGUUUGGGUGGAAAACCCGAGCGCGUAAUGAAAGUGAAAGUUGAGAUCCCUGUCGUGGGGAGCAUCGACGCCCGGACCAGACCUUUUGUGACGGUUCCGCGGUAGAGCAUGUAUGUUGGGACCCGAAAGAUGGUGAACUAUGCCUGAAUAGGGUGAAGCCAGAGGAAACUCUGGUGGAGGCUCGUAGCGAUUCUGACGUGCAAAUCGAUCGUCAAAUUUGGGUAUAGGGGCGAAAGACUAAUCGAACCAUCUAGUAGCUGG
rnacentral:rRNA from 1 species